UCAGUCGGCCGGACGGCCGCUCCGGCAAGUGCCGAAAGGCCGCCGGGGAGGAAAGUCCGGGCUCCCUUGACAUGCGGUGCCGGAUAACGUCCGGCGGGGGUGACCCCAGGGAAAGUGCCACAGAGAACGAACCGCUUCCUCCUCCGAGGAAGUAAGGGUGAAAAGGUGCGGUAAGAGCGCACCGCGGUUCCGGCAACGGGGCCGGCAUGGCAAACCCCACCGGGAGCAAAACCGAAUAGGGACGGCAUAGCGGGCUGUUCGCGCAAGCGAUAACGCCGCGGGGCGAUGUCAGGCCCGCCGUCCGGGUAGGUUGCUCGAGGCCAUGUGCAAACACGGUCCCAGAGGAAUGGCCGUCACGUAUCGUUCGCGCAAGCGGGCGGUGCCCUACAGAACCCGGCUUACAGGCCGGCUGAUGUU
rnacentral:RNase_P_RNA from 2 species